UCAGCAAAAAGGAAACAGUUGCAUAUAGUAUAAUUUGUUGAUUAAAUUAGAUAAAAUUCCUAUAGAAAUCAAUGCAAAACUAAAAGAAAGACUUUUUUUUGCUAGAAUAGCCUAUUUCAUCCCCAAACUUUUAGUCAAGGGUCAUCUUCAUCCCUAAACUUUCAAAAUGACCGUUUCAGUCCUCAACCUUUUUUCAUGCAGCUUAAUUUAGUCCUUCGAUCUAUAUGUGUUGCCACGUUAGCAUGCUAUGUCAGCAUCCAAGUGUUCCUAUUUUUUAGCAGCAAUAUACACUGGUUCACACAUAUUUAAAGAUAACACAACAAAACUUUAACUUGUGUCUGCAUGAAUUUUUCUCACAAAUGGAACUUUUGUAUGUGUAUAAUAAAUAUAUUCGGAUCAACUCCCUUCCUUAAAAACUGUUCAUUAUUUUGGUUUAGUCAGGAUGAAACUUUUAUGAAGAUCAAAUUUAUAGAAAUAUUUUUUUUAUGAACCAUAGCUGACUAGAUGUCACAAGGCGUGCCAACAUGGCAUAUUAUGUAGGAAGAAGGAUUAAAUUGAGCCGAAUGGAGAAAUUUGAGGAUUAAAAUGGUCAUUUUGAAAGUUCAUGAAUGAAGUUAAGCUUCGGCUGAAAAUUUAAGGAUGAAAUUGACUAUUCCAUAUUAUUUAUCCGGCCCCCCUUAGUCUUUCUCUCCAGUUCCGCCAUUGAGGGUGAGUGUGUAGUUCUCAAGUAAUUGUGACUUUUGUACCAGAGAAAUCUUCUCUGUCAUUAGUCAUUACUCUAUAGGACGAACCUGAAGUACUUUUGCAGCAUUUUGUAAUUCUCAUUCCUUGUGAGAAAAUUACUUAUUCUAGAAAGUUGCUAUAUUAUUUGCUGCUUAUGAAAAUUUCCCGUAACCUUUUAUGAAUUUGCAGAACAUGGUUAACUACUAGUACUUCAUGGAGGCCACAGCCUUACUCCCAGACAUUGAGAACUUAAACCUGCGCUUAGUAACACGUGGACAUGUUGUUGGCACUUGUGUAUUCCAUAUGCUUAAGAUUUCUACCAGUAUAAGAAGGUUGAAUCUGGAUAUACAUGAAGGCAUUAAGGAAGUAGCUGAUUGUUCACCGGGUUGUGUUUGUCAUCAGCCGCAUGACUGGGAAACUAAGGAGCUGCGCUUUAAUUCUCUCGAAGAACUGAGAAUUUGUGGAUUGAGCAGUGCAGAUUGUGAUUUCGCAUUUGUGAAACGACUAUUGGGAUGGACGCCAGUGCUCAGAACAAUUGCUAUAAAUUUCGAUCCUUCAGCCUGUGUCAAUGAGGAGCUUUGUAAGGAGCUACUCAGCCUCACUGGGCCAGAGACUUGCAUGAAGAUUUACUUAUAUCGCAAUGGGGCAAAGGUGAUGUAUACGCCGGCAGGCUAGGGCAGUCUUAAGGGUAGUAUGGCUGUAGCCUUGACAUGGGAGUGUUAACCCUAGCUUAACUAGACAGUCAUAUUAAGUAUGGAACUCUGCCAGGGCCUAUUCACUGAUGUCAGAUGUCAGCUGAUUUUGGGCAAAAUUAGUGAAGAAUCACUGUCCAGCACUGUUCAUGCAUGGAGUUGACAACGAUAUGGAGCUGACCUCGAUGCUUUUGUCUACUGGCUCCGCCCUUGAUACUCCGCUUUAGUUCUGGCUUCAAGUGUGGUUUAUGGCCGCUGGCCAAUGUUAUGCAUCAUGCAACUUAGUAUCCUAGAAGAACACCAUUUCAGUAUGUAGCGUUAGAACAAUUGUGCCCCAACAUUCAGAAUGUUAGUUCAGAGUUGGGCAA